rnacentral:rRNA from 1 species
GUGUGACUGCGUACCUUUUGUAUAAUGGGUCAGCGACUUAUAUUCUGUAGCAAGGUUAACCGAAUAGGGGAGCCGAAGGGAAACCGAGUCUUAACUGGGCGUUAAGUUGCAGGGUAUAGACCCGAAACCCGGUGAUCUAGCCAUGGGCAGGUUGAAGGUUGGGUAACACUAACUGGAGGACCGAACCGACUAAUGUUGAAAAAUUAGCGGAUGACUUGUGGCUGGGGGUGAAAGGCCAAUCAAACCGGGAGAUAGCUGGUUCUCCCCGAAAGCUAUUUAGGUAGCGCCUCGUGAAUUCAUCUCCGGGGGUAGAGCACUGUUUCGGCAAGGGGGUCAUCCCGACUUACCAACCCGAUGCAAACUGCGAAUACCGGAGAAUGUUAUCACGGGAGACACACGGCGGGUGCUAACGUCCGUCGUGAAGAGGGAAACAACCCAGACCGCCAGCUAAGGUCCCAAAGUCAUGGUUAAGUGGGAAACGAUGUGGGAAGGCCCAGACAGCCAGGAUGUUGGCUUAGAAGCAGCCAUCAUUUAAAGAAAGCGUAAUAGCUCACUGGUCGAGUCGGCCUGCGCGGAAGAUGUAACGGGGCUAAACCAUGCACCGAAGCUGCGGCAGCGACACUAUGUGUUGUUGGGUAGGGGAGCGUUCUGUAAGCCUGUGAAGGUGUACUGUGAGGUAUGCUGGAGGUAUCAGAAGUGCGAAUGCUGACAUAAGUAACGAUAAAGCGGGUGAAAAGCCCGCUCGCCGGAAGACCAAGGGUUCCUGUCCAACGUUAAUCGGGGCAGGGUGAGUCGACCCCUAAGGCGAGGCCGAAAGGCGUAGUCGAUGGGAAACAGGUUAAUAUUCCUGUACUUGGUGUUACUGCGAAGGGGGGACGGAGAAGGCUAUGUUGGCCGGGCGACGGUUGUCCCGGUUUAAGCGUGUAGGCUGGUUUUCCAGGCAAAUCCGGAAAAUCAAGGCUGAGGCGUGAUGACGAGGCACUACGGUGCUGAAGCAACAAAUGCCCUGCUUCCAGGAAAAGCCUCUAAGCAUCAGGUAACAUCAAAUCGUACCCCAAACCGACACAGGUGGUCAGGUAGAGAAUACCAAGGCGCUUGAGAGAACUCGGGUGAAGGAACUAGGCAAAAUGGUGCCGUAACUUCGGGAGAAGG